UGGGCGCCAACCCGGCGGGAAGGGAAGCGGUGCAGGCCCCUGCGGCUGGGCGCAGCGGGGCAAGAGCGGAGCCCCUGCUGGCUGCCCUGGCCGGGCCAGAGGGCAGAUCCCGGGAGGGCGGCGAGCCCAGGGGAGUACAGCACAGGCGGAAUGGGCCGAGCUCACCCCUGGGGCUCGACUCCUGGACAGUGGGGGUCCCCUCCCUCCGCGGGGCACUGACCCCAGGAGCUGAGACUAACCCGCUUUCCCCUCACGCCUGUUCAGCGCCGAGAGGCUGCGAGGCGCUCUCGGGAGCCUUAUCCAACCGCGGGGAAAGCCAAUGGGAACACUGGCCCUGCUUCCACAGAGAGCUGGAUCGGCCCUGGAAGGAGUGAGGCAGGAAACCAAUCAAUAGAAAUAGUUGCCAGAUAUGAGGACACUUCCUUCUUAACAUCCAGAUGAUUGCUGGAAACAUCUAAGACUGAAGAAGAGGAAGGAUCUGGCCCAAGAUAAGAGGCUGCCUAGUUUCAUCACAUUCCCUCAUCAUGAAUGAUCUGUGAAUAACUUAGUAAUGGCAGAUAUGGUGGACGCUGCUAUUGCCACCCCAUGUAUGGGCCAUCACUAGUGCUGCAGGAGGACCAACAUCAUGUGGUGGGCCCAUUUUGUUCUGGAAAACUGAGGCAACCAACAGUGGCUUCAGAACUUUUGAGGAAACAGACCUUCAUGGAGCUGGAUGAGGAACUUACACCCAACCUCUGGAACACUUGAUUCAGGGAAGACAUACCAGAGCAGAAACAGGUGGCUUUUACCCUGUGGAAUCUGGCAACGUUAGACAACUAUUAGUCAUUUGCAAAUCAUUUUGGGGUUGAAAUGCCCAUGGUUGUGGUUGUGAUUUUGUGGUUUGUGAAGCAAACUACUGUGGAGUAGUUGCUAAUGUUCCUUGUAAGCUGUGUGCUUGUGUGGCCACUCAAAAGAUAAUCAAAUGCUGCCCAACUCAUUAGCAGAGCACCCUCAAUUUGUUUUUUUGUUUCUACCGUUGGUGCACAUUUGCACAUGCCAAAGUGCACAUAAUUUUUUUCUGCACAUGAAUGGUAAAAUAUUAGAGGCAAUAUUGAUGGUUACCAUAAUAAAAGUGCCAGUAAUAAUACAGUAAAAGCUCUAUUAUCUGUCACUCAAAUAACCAGAAAGCUCAAUUAAUAAUAAUUUUUGAUAUCUCCCUGUACAAAUCUUCAGUCUAGUAACCAGGACUGGUAUACUGCCCAACACAUUAUGCUACUGCAUAUUCUGUAGUCUACUUUUAUGAAAAAGAGGCAGAAGACAAGUAAGCAAUCUGAAAUCAGAGAUGUAUUCAAAAAAGCAGGUCACAGGGUGUGUCAUAGGGUCAUUACAGAUUCAGCCCAAUCUCUUACACCUCCUACAUUUACAAAUGAUAAUUGAUGUUGAUAAUGUUGACCCUGAGGAACUGUGAAAGCCUGAAGUGCCUUCUGAAUCAUCAGAGAAUGUUUAAAUUAUGUUCAGUAUAGUUUUAGUGCUAAGUGUUUAGUGCUUGCCCAUAGUGAUAUGUAGCUUCAUAAGAUAACCUACUGUAUAAAAAACUUCACUUGUACAUACAUCAGUGCUUCAAGAAAUGAACCACUCUGCAGUACAGUACUAUUAUUGGAUUGGUGAGUACCUGUAUACAGUAAAAGCUCUGUUAUCUGGCAUGUUGGGGGAUUGGGAGUGUUGGUAUAUCAAAUAGUCUGGUUAACUGGGAGUUAUAUUUUACUAAUGGAAUACCAAUUUUUAAAGAAUUAGAAUACUAAUAAUGAAUAAAGAAUAAAAUAGUAUAUCAGUAUACUAGUAGUCCUCUAAACAGCUGAAUUUGCAACUCAGCAGAAACGGGGAAGGAAUAAAAUCUUAUCCACACUUGCAAUUGAUCGACAAAUCCUUUGUUGUUUAUAGAUGCUUAAUUUCUCUUCCCCUCUUUCCCGAAUGACAAAAGUUUUGCCGCAGCAAGUGCAAAUGUUAACACUGCUUUUGACAAAGCAAAGGCUGCUUACAAGGGCUAGAAAUAUUUUGUUGGAUAAAGUGCCCACAAACAACAUUAACACAGAAUGACUUUUAGGAUAUGUAUACACAGUUGCGCAGAUGUCAGCAAGUCACCAGGUCCUGAUGAAAUGCAUCCCAGGAUACUGAAGGAGCUGAUAGAGGAGGUAUCUGAGCCUUUAGCUAUGAUCUUUGAAAAA